rnacentral:piRNA from 1 species
UUGUCAAAUUCUUCCUCACUGUGAGGUCUGGC